GAGAAAGCUGGAAAUGGAAAGCAGCGCCCCCCACCCCUCUGAAUGGCCAACCUCGGCCAGCGGUGCGCACUAGGUUUCUACCACACAGCGACCCCCACUCUGCUCAGGGCAGGUGCGCCGGCGCCGGCGGCAAGACCGCUGGAAAAUGGGAGGGCUGGUGAGAUGGCUCAGUGGGUAAGAGCACCCGACUGCUCUUCCGAAGGUCCAGAGUUCAAAUCCCAGCAACCACAUGGUGGCUCACAAACCAUCCGUAGCGAGAUCUGACUCCCUCUUCUGGAGUGUCUGAAGACAGCUACAAUGUACUUCCAUAUAAUAAAUAAAUAAAUCUUUAAAAAAAAAAAAAAGAAAAA
rnacentral:lncRNA from 1 species